GCACUUUCUGCGACGAGGCUGCGACCGUGUGAUCCGUCCUCUAGGAUACUGGACGUCUGCUCCGCAGACUUAAGCGCCGGCUAACUCUGUGCCAGCAGCCGCGGUAAUACAGAGGGUGCGAGCGUUAAUCGGAUUUACUGGGCGUAAAGCGUGCGUAGGCGGCUGAUUAAGUCGGAUGUGAAAUCCCUGAGCUUAACUUAGGAAUUGCAUUCGAUACUGGUCAGCUAGAGUAUGGGAGAGGAUGGUAGAAUUCCAGGUGUAGCGGUGAAAUGCGUAGAGAUCUGGAGGAAUACCGAUGGCGAAGGCAGCCAUCUGGCCUAACACUGACGCUGAGGUGCGAAAGCAUGGGGAGCAAACAGGAUUAGAUACCCUGGUAGUCCAUGCCGUAAACGAUGUCUACUAGCCGUUGGGGCCUUUGAGGCUUUAGUGGCGCAGCUAACGCGAUAAGUAGAACGCCUGGGGAGUACGGUCGCAAGACUAAAACUCAAAUGAAUUGACGGGGGCCCGCACAAGCGGUGGA
rnacentral:rRNA from 1 species